rnacentral:lncRNA from 1 species
AUGACAAAUCAUUUCUCAAGCCACCCCUUGAGACCUCACUGCACAAUCAGAGCCUGCAAUGUAGCCUGGAAAUCAAUAAUACCUGGCCCUUUGUGUCAGGGAAUAGUUAAAAAACUAGAUCGAGAGGGAAUGGGCAAAGCAAGGAUCAGCAGACACAGCCUUACGCUAGGAACUUACAAUCAUCUCCAGCAUUUCAUGUGUGUAAAAUCAGAGGGAGCUUUUUUACUGAUUUCACUCAACAACAGGAGUUUGGUUUGGUGACUGAACUGAAAAAAAUCCAUUUCAUGCCUAAAUCUAAACUGGGAGAACGCUUAAGCAAGGACUGUGAUCAAGCAGCUAAAAAGGUUAGAUGCCUCAGAAAUGAGACAAGCAUGAAAGCCUUUAUCUGGGAGAUUUCCGAACUCCAUUUUGCGCAGUGAGAUAGCGUUUAAAUAAUUCAGAUGAAAGAAACUUGGUUAGAAUUGUAUAUGUUACAGCUAGUCCCAGCUGAAUUCUUUUAUUGUUUCACUUAAAAGUUGUGUUUUAGUGUACUGGUGGGUUGGAUUUGCAAAAAGCUCUUUCCUACUUAAUGGAAUGAAAUGGAAAAGUGUUUUGGAAUUGAUUGGCAUCUUCAUGGUAACCUCUUCUGCAGAUCUGGCUGAAUAUUUUGAUCUUUACAUGACAGUAGGUCACUUCUGAAAAUCUGGCUUUUAAUGUGUGUUUCAAAG